rnacentral:rRNA from 1 species
GACGAACGCUGGCGGCGUGCUUAACACAUGCAAGUCGAACGAAGUGGCGAACGGGUGAGUAAUACGUGGGUACCCUUCCCUCCUUUUUGGGAUAAGCCUUGGAAACGGGGUCUAAUACCGCCUAAAGGGGGAUGGGCUCGCGGCCUAUCGGCUUGUUGGUGGGUUGAUAGCCUACCAAGGCGGUGCCGGGUAGCCGGCCUGAGAGGGGGACCGGGAACAUAGGGACGGAGAUACGGCCUAGGGGCCUAAGGGGGGGAGAAGUGGGGGAUAUGGCAGAAUGGGUGAAAGACUGAUGCAGCGAGGCCGAGGGGGGGAUGAAGGCUGUCGGGUUGUAAAGCUAGUGCGCUAUAGAGCGGGUAGGUGGAGAAGAAGCGCCGGCUAACUACGUGCCAGCAGCCGCGGUAAUUC